AAGGGUGGCUCAUGUCCUUCCUCAUUCCAGAAAAGGGUGGAAAGACAAUUUGAAAGAAUUCAUCUUAUAUAUUUACUUUUAUCUUUCAUACUUAGUAACUGAAGGAGCCUUUUAAAAUGAUGAUUUCUUUUUUGUUUUAUUGUGAAUAUUUUUAACAAUGAAAUAUAAACUGAACCAUCUACUCUGAAUAAGUGGCCUGAUUUACUUUAGACUAUCCAGUUGCUGAAGUUGAUUCCUCUUUAAAAUAGUUUUGAAACAAGAGGCACAGAUCCAGAGAGACAAUGAAAUGUGGAAAUAAGCAAAUUAGAGACAACAACAAUAAAGAAAUCUCACAAACUCAAUUAUGAAUACCUAGAAAUGACCCUCUCAAGUUGCAUGGCAUCUGUCUGUGGAGAGAGUCACAUGGACCUGUGACCUCCAGGAUGACUGUGUUGGUAUGACACAUCACACAGAAUGGAAUGGAAGUCAAAGGCCUACGAGGAGAGGACAUUGUCCAUCUACUUCACAGAGAAGAAUCCAGGCGUUCCGGUAAGCCAUACAGGCCACAGAAUGCUCUGGACCCCAGACCGGGCCAGCAACACCAGGGAGCCAGACGGAGGAGGUACAGCCGGUACGCCUUCUCCAGAUGAAGUCCCAGCGACACUGAGCAGCUACUAACACAGUUCCAGGAUGCGGGACUGGGACAUCUCCAAACCGUGCGGCCACUAAUGCGGCCGCGCGACCUUUUCUGAAAAAUGAAAACAUACAAUCUAUUGAUGCCAUCCAGCAUGUCUGACUGUUGGAGGAAAAGCUCCAAAUAAUAAUAGUGAGAUUCCUGUUGAACAUUGGAUGUAAUCACAGUAAGGAAAGAGUAAAGUGAAAAAUGUCUGCCACACAGGUAGAGGGCGAGUGGGAGGGGGGAUAUGCGGGGAUUGGUGGUGGAUCAAAUAUGAAAACUUUGUAGCUAUAUUUCACAGUGAUUCAAUAAAAAAUAAUUAAAAAAAUAAAAAUGAAAAAAUUGUUUGGGGGCACGUCCUAUGGUGCUCAAUGCUCAACCCUUGCUCUGUAUGCAAGGAUCAUUUAUGGCAGUCUCCGGGAUGCAUGGGGUACCAGGAUUAAACCCAGGUUGGCUGUAUGCAAGGCAUGCGUUCCUUACAUUCCUUACUCUCUCUCUGGCCCCUGUGUGAUUUUGUUUGUUUUGAUAUUACACAAUCUCAUUCAAGGCACAAUUAUUUUCUUUUUAGAGUUAAAGAACUAGAAUCAAUGUUUCCAUUGUGUAACAGAUAUGAGGAAGCCAUUCUGGAAUGGUGCCUGUAGACUUGGGGUUAAAUUUCAACUCUAUGAAACUAGCGUCUGAUCUGCUUAAGUCAGACCCAUCUCCUCAUUAGCAAAUGGGAAACACCUAAACUUGGAGGUAUUUUAUAUUUAAAUAUUUAAAAUGAGUAGAAAUGAGCCUACCCUAGAGACUCUGAUCAUCGCCAAUCAAGGUGCUAGCAGCUCUGCUCUCUCCCUCCGCCCGGUCACCUCACAGCAGUGCCGAUCUCUGGUGCACAGCCAGCUGUGUAUAAACACUGAAACUACCAUGUGCAAGCACCAUAGCCAGAUGUGCCACCCCAAUGGACUACUGUUGGAACAACACAGAGACCAAUGGUGAGCACGGCCAUCCAGGAAAGCACAACAGUGAGUCAUGAUCGAGAUCCACAACCAAGCUGGCAGUACCCCACCAUCACAGCAAUAAAGAAUAGGUAAAUAAAAAAAAGGAAACUCAGCAAAACUAAAAGAAAUAAAAAAUUUCA